ACGAGUCCCAAAUAGGACGAAACACGCGUC
rnacentral:hammerhead_ribozyme from 1 species